rnacentral:misc_RNA from 1 species
AACAAGGCGUACCUGCGGACCUGCGGAGGGAUCAUUACCGAGUGUGAACCCCCCCGUAAAAAAGAGGGGUUACCUCCCGUCCUUUGCUGGGAACCCCUUUCCAACUUGGAAGGAGGUUGUUUUCAGACCCUUCUGCUUCGGUGGGGUAACCCACCGGAACAACCUCAAAAAUAUUCUCAAUUCAAAACCGUUCAGUCCGAGAACUUUUUUGAAAAGCGAGAAAACUUUUAACAACGGAUC